UCUUAGUACGGCGAGUGACCGGGAAAGCUCAAUUUGUAAUCUGGCUGUCUUCGAUAGUCCGAGUUGUAAUCUAUAGACGUGUUUUCCGUGCUGGACCGUAUCUAAGUCCCUUGGAACAGGGUAUCAAAGAGGGUGACAAUCCCGUGCUUGAUACGACCACCAGUGCUCUGUGAUACACGCUCUACGAGUCGAGUUGUUUGGGAAUGCAGCUCAAAAUGGGUGGUAAAUUCCAUCUAAAGCUAAAUAUUGGCGAGAGACCGAUAGCGAACAAGUACCGUGAGGGAAAGAUGAAAAGCACUUUGGAAAGAGAGUUAAACAGUACGUGAAAUUGUUGAAAGGGAAACGAUUGAAGUCAGUCGUGUUCUUUGGAUUCAGCUAGUUCUUCUAGUCUACUUCCAUUGAACGGGUCAACAUCAGUUUUGUCCGGUGGAUAA
rnacentral:rRNA from 1 species